rnacentral:lncRNA from 1 species
CCUCGACAAACAAGGACAGACCCCCCACAGCAGCACUGCAGCAGCAAAGGACACAGAGGUAGCUAGGUCCAAGCGACCAAGCAAGCUGACCCCCUACGAGCCUCUGACGAUCGAGGAUUUGCCGGGUAACUAGCUGCCUUAACCCGUUACUACGGCGGGGACGCCGUACCUGCACUCCAGGCUGCCAGGCUAGCCGUGGAGUGAAUCGAUCGUCGCCAUCACGGGGGAGAGAGCAGGAACACAAGCAAACGAUGCAUCUAUUCCGUCUGUCCGCUGUGCAAAACCCCAAGGGCAAAGCAACGUAUCGUCGUCAGGCCUGGGCCCACUGCAUGCUUGUGUGAUGCUGUGCCUGUAGGAUCGUACUACACGUCUCAGUGGCGUGUUAAAUGACCCCGUGGAACGGCGACGGGCGAGGAUCCAAAAGACGAUGCUUGUCAUAUUGGUUCACUCCAGCACAUUGAUUACAUGGGUUGUGAUCGGUGAAUCUUGUGAGUAGCGAGCACGUGAUGGAACAGCUAGCAAUAAUAAUCCAGAUGAAUCAUGUACUACUGUAGCUUGCUUGUUUGGUGCGAGUGCCACCGUGUGAGGUGUGGCCAGCCGCCAUCAUGUGCUGGCUAGCAGCUGAUGAGUUGCAUUGUGAGUUGCAACUCAUCAAAAGCAAGCACCAUCGUAUUGUAAAUUCAUGAACGCAGCAAAACUGCAAAAGCAGUGGAUCGAUCUAGCCUUGUGAAACGCGAUUGUCCUUUGAAUUUGUCUGACGAGGAGCCACGGCAAAAAAAAAAAAAAGGAAAGGAGAAGCCACCAUUCCCUUCAGGACGCCCUCUGGUCAAGCAAAGCUGGGAGAAUCCCUGGUUAACUAGUAAAGAACCCGUACGUUCCCGUCUUUCUAGAUGGAUCCUGCUUUUGAUCACUAUAAUCACCACCACCCUCGAUCGGGUGUCUGUUUAAUUACUAGGUGAAAAUCAGUUACCACCUCUGAUAUCCCCAUCCCGACCACAAACACGGACUGUAAUUAAUAUUUAUCCUUUGCUUUGUCUGACGAUCGAGGAGCCACGCCACACGCCAGGCAUCACGAUUUACAAAGAACCACCACCCUCCCCUGCCCCUAAUGGUCAAGCAAAGCUGAGCACAUGUACCAAUAUCAAUGGGAUUAAGAAUAAACCCCUUCUCAUUCCCG